UACGUAGGGGGCAAGCGUUGUCCGGAUUUAUUGGGCGUAAAGAGCGUGUAGGCGGCUUGACAAGUCUGCUGUGAAAACUCGAGGCUCAACCUCGAGCUGUCGGUGGAAACUGUCUGGCUAGAGUCCGGAAGAGGAGAGUGGAAUUCCUGGUGUAGCGGUGAAAUGCGCAGAUAUCAGGAAGAACACCUAUGGCGAAGGCAGCUCUCUGGGACGGUACUGACGCUGAGACGCGAAAGCUAGGGGAGCAAACAGG
rnacentral:rRNA from 1 species